AAUUGUUCCAAGUCACUUACAUGGAGCUACAUUUACAGACACAAAGAGGAGCUGGACUGAUGUUUAGCUGUCUUGCACCAGCUUGUAUUUUUGGAUUAGCUAGUAUCCCAGGAAAAGGGUUUGUAUCCAAGAUAAUCCUUCCUCUGGACUGGUUUUCUUUCUGUGUUUUGACCCUCCCAGAAGCAGAAGAGUCAUCUUGCCUCUCAGUAAAAGCAGAGAAGGGGAAAUAUCUUUGAAUUGCUGGGUAGGAUAGCUUCUCUCGCUCAGCAUUUUUUCUGUUCUCCACAAGAAAACCUCUUACUGCAAAAUAUGUUUGUUGGUGGAUCACAGACUUCAAACUCACAGGACCUUAUCUCCGAUACACUGAAAGUAAAUGCAACAUAUUAAAUAGUUUAAUCAAAAUGAGGUAGAGAGGCUAUGAAGUGUCUGUAAACAUUUGGAAUCUGAUGCAAAGAAGCACGAGGACCUUCAUUUUCACUCCAGUGGUUGUGGUGACUGUGGAGAGGAAUACACAACAGAAGAAACACGCACCCACAUGAACACACACGGGCACAAAGAGAUACUACAGAAUGGGGAGCAAUAAAUUAUUGGCCUAAUUCGUGCCUGGUUCCAAAGAAAAGGGGCAGUUGGAGCCCCCCAGGCCAUCUCACCGCCUUUCCCCUGACUGGGUCCCUCCAUCUGGUAGUUGCCAGCCAAUGUUGGAGGUCUGACCCAUGCUUUUCUCUCCUUGGGAAAAGACAUGACUUGCUCCUCCUUGUCUUCUACUAUGAUUGUGAGGCCUUCUCAGCCGCUUGGAACUGUGAGUCUAAUUAAACCUUUUUCUUUUGUACAUUGCCCAGUCUCAGGUAUGUCUUUAUCUUAGAAAACAGACUCAUACAGUAAAUUGGUGCCAGUAGAGUGGGGUGUUGCUGAAAAGAUACCUGAAAAUGUGGGGGCGACUUUGGAACUGGGUAACAGGCAGAGGUUGGAACAAUUUGGAAAGCUCAGAAGAAGACAAGAAAAUUUGGGAAAGUUUGUAACUUCCUAGAGACUUGUUGAAUGACUUUGACCACAAGCCUGACAGCAAUAUGGACAAUAAGGUCUAGGCUGAAGUGGUCUCAGAUGGAGAUGAGGAAGUUGUUGGGAACUGGAGCAAAGAUAUGUGUUGUUGUUGUGUUUUAGCAAAGAGACUGGUGGCAUUUUGCCCCUGCCCUAGAAAUCUGGGAAACUUUGAACUUGAGAGAGAUGAUUUAGGGUAUCUGGUGGAAGAAAUUUCUAAGCAUCAAAACAUCUAAGGGGUGACUUGGGAUGUGUUAAUUCAGACUUGGGAUGUUAAAGGUAUUCAGUUUUAUAAAGGAAGCAGAGCAUAAAAGUUUGUAAAAUUUACAGCCUGACAAUGUGAUAGAAAAGAAAAUCCCAUUUUCUGAGGAGAAAUUCAAGUUGGCUACAGAAAUUUGCAUAAUUAAUGAGGAGCUGAAUGUUAAUCCCCAAGACAAUGGGGAAAAUGUCUCCAGGGCAUGUCAGAGGUCUUCUUGGCAGCCUCUCCCAUCACAGGUGUGGAGACCUAGGAAGAAAAUAUAGUUUCCUGGGCUGGGCCCAGGGUCUCCGUGCUGUGCACAGUCCAGGGACUUGGUGCCCUGCAUCCCAGCUGCUCCAGCCAUGACUAAAAGGGGUCAAGGUACAGCUUGGGCCAUGGCUUCAAAGGGUGUAAGCCCCAAGCUUUGACAGCCCCAACAUGAUGUCGAGCCUGAGGGUGCACAGAAGUCAAGAAUUGGGGUUUGGGAACCUCCACCUAGAUUUCAGAAGAUAUAUGGAAACGCCUGGAUGCCCAGGCAUAAGUUUGUUGCAGGGGCAGGGUGCUUGUGGAGAACCUCUGCUAGCACAGAAGGGAAAUGUGGGUCAGAGCCCCCACACACAGUGCCUACUGGGGCACUGCCUAGUGAAGCUGUGAGAAGAGGGCCACUGUCCUUCAGACCCCAGAAUGGUAGAUCCACUGACAAUUUGCACACUUCACCUGGAAAAGGUGGCUGUACUCUGCAAAGCUACAGAGAUGGAGCUGCCCAAGACCAUGGGAACCCACCUCUUGCAUCAGCAUGACCUGGAUAUGAGACAUGGAGUCAAAGGAGAUCAUUUUGGAGCUUUAAGAUUUGACUGCCCUGCUGGAGUUUGGACUUGCAUGGGGCCUGUAACUCCUUUGCUUUGGCCAAUUUCUCCCACUUGGAAUGGCUGUAUUUACCCAAUGCCUAUACCCCCUUUGUAUCUAGGAAGUAAUUAACUUGCUUUUGAUUUUACAGGUUUAUAGGUGGAAGGGACUUGCCUUGUCUCAGACAAGACUUUGGACUGUUGACUUUUCAGUUAAUAUUGAAAUAAGUUAAGCCUUUGGGGGACUACUGGGAAGGCAUGAUUGGUUCUGAAAUGUGAGGACAUGAGAUUUGGGAGGGGUCAGGGGCAGAAUGAUAUGGUUUGGCUCUAUGUCUCCACCUAAAUCUCAUCUUAAAUUGUACUCCAAUAAUUCCCACUUGUUGUGGGAAGAACCUGGUGGGAGAUAAUUGAAUCAUGGGGGCAGUUUGCCCCAUACUGUUCUCAUGGCAGUGAAUAAGUCUCAUGAGAUCUGAUGGUUUGAUAAGGGGAAACUCAUUUCACUUGGCUCUCAUUCUCUCUUUUUGCCUGUUGCCAUUCAUGUAAGAAGUGACUUGCUCCUCCUUGUCUUCCACCAUCAUUAUGAGGCUUCUGCAGCCACGUGGAACUGUGAGUCCAUUAAACCUUUUUCUUUUGU
ensembl:lncRNA LINC01761 long intergenic non-protein coding RNA 1761